AUCCCACCGAGGCCACCAUAGACCAGCCAGCCCUCAGCGUACAUGCCAGCUAAUUACAGAUGCAGGAGCAAACCCCUGGCCCAUACAUCAAAACAUACAGUAAACAGAGAAAAAAAAGGAUCUCAGGUGAGAUGAUGUAUGGGAAUGCUCAGCAUACAGAAUGAAUGGAUAAGAGGCCUGAAAACAUAAUCCUGUAAACAACCAUAUUGAAAGAGAAGACAGAAGACAUCAAACAGAUGGAGUUUCGCUCUUGUUGCCCAGGCUGGAGUGCAACGGCACGAUCUCAGCUCACCGCAACCUCAGCCUCCCAAGUUCAAGCAAUUCUCCUGCCUCAGCGUCCUGAGUAGCUGGAAUUACAGGAUUUUGGAAGCAUUGCCUUCUACAGAAUCCACAGUAGUCCGAAGCUCUUCUACGGUUUUUGUCAAACUUUGAUUUUCCAUCUCUAGCUUCAAUAAUCUACUUGAUGUCAACUCAUUCACCUCAUGGCCCAGGGAUUUCUGGGGUGCUAUAAUAUUGAAAAAUACACCAUUGUAUUUACUCUUUACUGUUUUUACUAUGUUUACUCUUUACUAUUUAAAAAGUUGAGUGUAUAUGCAUUGCAUCAUCUGAUCCUUAACUUU
rnacentral:lncRNA from 10 species